rnacentral:rRNA from 7 species
AACUUCUGAAUGUUGACCUCGGAUCAGGUAGGAAUACCCGCUGAACUUAAGCAUAUCAAUAAGCGGAGGAAAAGAAACCAACAGGGAUUGCCCUAGUAACGGCGAGUGAAGCGGCAACAGCUCAAAUUUGAAAUCUGGCUCUCGGGCCCGAGUUGUAAUUUGUAGAGGAUGCUUUUGAUGCGGUGCCUUCCGAGUUCCCUGGAACGGGACGCCAUAGAGGGUGAGAGCCCCGUCUGGUUGGAUGCCAAAUCUCUGUAAAGCUCCUUCGACGAGUCGAGUAGUUUGGGAAUGCUGCUCUAAAUGGGAGGUAUAUGUCUUCUAAAGCUAAAUAUUGGCCAGAGACCGAUAGCGCACAAGUAGAGUGAUCGAAAGAUGAAAAGCACUUUGAAAAGAGAGUUAAAAAGUACGUGAAAUUGUUGAAAGGGAAGCGUUUAUGACCAGACUUGGGCUUGGUUAAUCAUCUGGGGUUCUCCCCAGUGCACUUUUCCAGUCCAGGCCAGCAUCAGUUUUCGCCGGGGGAUAAAGGCUUCGGGAAUGUGGCUCCCUCCGGGGAGUGUUAUAGCCCGUUGCGUAAUACCCUGGCGGGGACUGAGGUUCGCGCAUCUGCAAGGAUGCUGGCGUAAUGGUCAUCAACGACCCGUCU